UACGUAGGUGGCAAGCGUUGUCCGGAUUUACUGGGCGUAAAGAGCGCGCAGGCGGCCAAGUCAGUCGAAUGUGAAAGCCCCCGGCUUAACUGGGGAGGGUCAUUCGAUACUGCUCGGCUCGAAGACAGGAGAGGGAAGUGGAAUUCCCGGUGUAGUGGUGAAAUGCGUAGAUAUUGGGAGGAACACCAGUGGCGAAGGCGGCUCACUGGACCGGUACUGACGCUGAUGCGCGAAAGCGUGGGGAGCAAACGGG
rnacentral:rRNA from 1 species